rfam:Paraburkholderia susongensis strain LMG 29540 genome assembly, contig: Ga0139082_118
CCUGCUAUACGACUAGCAGUAGCCUACGGAGACAUGCGUCACUGGCAACGGUGAGGUGUGAAGCUCUCCUGACAACGUAGCCCCCGGUACCGGGCAAGGCGAAACCGUGAGGUAUAGCCUUGGAGACUCCCAGCAGCAAGGGGGUUGAGGAG